rnacentral:rRNA from 1 species
UACGAAGGGGGCUAGCGUUGUUCGGAAUCACUGGGCGUAAAGGGCGCGUAGGCGGCUUUACAAGUCGGGGGUGAAAGCCUGUGGCUCAACCACAGAAUUGCCUUCGAUACUGUAGAGCUUGAGACCGGAAGAGGUAAGUGGAACUGCGAGUGUAGAGGUGAAAUUCGUAGAUAUUCGCAAGAACACCAGUGGCGAAGGCGGCUUACUGGUCCGGUUCUGACGCUGAGGCGCGAAAGCGUGGGGAGCAAACAGG